UACGGAGGGUGCAAGCGUUAUCCGGAUUCACUGGGUUUAAAGGGUGCGUAGGUGGGCAAGUAAGUCAGUGGUGAAAUCUCCGGGCUUAACCCGGAAACUGCCAUUGAUACUAUUUGUCUUGAAUACUGUGGAGGUCAGCGGAAUAUGUCAUGUAGCGGUGAAAUGCUUAGAUAUGACAUAGAACACCUAAUUGCGAAGGCAGCUGGCUACACAAAUAUUGACACUGAGGCACGAAAGCGUGGGGAUCAAACAGG
rnacentral:rRNA from 1 species